GGGGGUGGAACGUGAAGCAAUGAUGCAUUAAUUUACAAAGGGAAGUAAAAACAGAGGCUAGGAAAUACUUCAUUUUCCUGCCCAAUAAGUUCAUACUGUAAAGCUAAAAACAUCACCAUCAUGUACAGAUAUAACAGUUGAGAGGAUUGAUGACCAACUGCUAUGGAUCUGCUUGGCCCGCCAUCUCCUCAUCUUGAGACUCGUAUUCGUCCUCACUUAGCUCCUCAUCGCUAGAUUUGUCCUCUGGGGCAGCCCCUAUGUCUUCUGGCUUGGCAUAUUUCUCACAGUAUUCUUUAACUUUCUGUUCAUAAGCAGACCGGUCACGCAUCAUCAAAGCCGCUGCCUCUCCAUUCAAUGGGUCUGAGGGGUUAGGAUACAAAAGAAGCUGUGGUAGAAAUACCUCAAAUACAUUUACCAGAUCAAACAUGGGACUCCAAGUCUGAUUGAUAACUAAACAAACUGAGCCAGACAUUUCAUCAACAUUUGGGUGAUAGAUCUUAUUAAUAAAGCCUAUCGUGGGGGAUUUGUAUGGAUAAGCAUCUGGCAGCUCAACUCUUAUCCUCCACACACCUCC
rnacentral:misc_RNA from 1 species